rnacentral:tRNA from 1 species
GGGGUUGUGGCUCAGCGGUAGAGCGCUCGCCUAGUGUGCGUGAGGCCCUUGGGUUCGAUCCUCAACACCA